ACGUAGGGACCAAGCGUUGUUCGGAUUUACUGGGCGUAAAGGGCGCGUAGGCGGCAAUUCAAGUCAGCUGUGAAAUCUCCGGGCUUAACUCAGAACGGCCAAGUGAUACUGCAGUGCUAGAGUGUGGAAGGGGCAAUCGGAAUUCUUGGUGUAGCGGUGAAAUGCGUAGAUAUCAAGAGGAACACCUGAGGUGAAGACGGGUUGCUGGGCCAACACUGACGCUGAGGCGCGAAAGCCAGGGGAGCAAACGGGA
rnacentral:rRNA from 1 species